rnacentral:rRNA from 1 species
UACGUAGGGGGCAAGCGUUGUCCGGAUUUAUUGGGCGUAAAGAGCGUGUAGGCGGCCAAACAGGUCAGCUGUGAAAACUCGAGGCUCAACCUCGAGACGUCGGUUGAAACCGUUUGGCUAGAGUCCGGAAGAGGAGAGUGGAAUUCCCGGUGUAGCGGUGAAAUGCGCAGAUAUCGGGAAGAACACCCGUGGCGAAGGCGGCUCUCUGGGACGGUACUGACGCUGAGACGCGAAAGCCAGGGGAGCGAACGGG